rnacentral:rRNA from 1 species
UACGAAGGGGGCUAGCGUUGUUCGGAAUCACUGGCGUAAAGAGCUCGUAGGCGGUCUGUCGCGUCUGCUGUGAAAACUCGGGGCUUAACCCCCGGGCCUGCAGUGGGUACGGGCAGACUAGAGUGCGGGUAGGGGAGACUGGAAUUCCUGGUGUAGGCGGUGAAAAUGCGCAGAUAUCAAGGAGGGAAACACCCGGUGGCGAAAGGGCGG